rnacentral:rRNA from 1 species
CAUGCCGUAAACGAUGAGUGCUAAGUGUUAGGGGGUUUCCGCCCCUUAGUGCUGCAGCUAACGCAUUAAGCACUCCGCCUGGGGAGUACGACCGCAAGGUUGAAACUCAAAGGAAUUGGCGGGGGCCCGCACAAGCGGUGGAGCAUGUGGUUUAAUUCGAAGCAACGCGAAGAACCUUACCAGGUCUUGACAUCCCAGUGACCACUCUAGAGAUAGAGUUUUCCCUUCGGGGACAUUGGUGACAGGUGG